UACGAAGGGGGCUAGCGUUGCUCGGAAUCACUGGGCGUAAAGGGUGCGUAGGCGGGUCUUUAAGUCCGGGGUGAAAUCCUGGAGCUCAACUCCAGAACUGCCUUUGAUACUGAAGAUCUUGAGUUCGGGAGAGGAGAGUGGAACUGCGAGUGUAGAGGUGAAAUUCGUAGAUAUUCGCAAGAACACCAGUGGCGAAGGCGGCUCACUGGCCCGAUACUGACGCUGAGGCACGAAAGCGUGGGGAGCAAACAGG
rnacentral:rRNA from 1 species